GAUUAGUAUGUGAUCAUGGGAAAGUCCCACUAGCUCAUUUUAAGACUUUUUCAUAGUUCCUUCAGAAGGGGUUUGAAACUGAACAGCUUUUCCGUGGUGUGUUUUAAGUUGAAGUGUGGUCCCACAGUUUGGAAACUCUCUUUUCCAUCCACAACCCGUAGCUGCUCACUGGAAGGACUAGGUUCUGGAUCCACAGCAGGGAAGGAGCUGUGAGAGAAACCACAGAAGUCCUGUAACAUUGAGUGAACACACCAUGUCGGGUUUCACAACAUCAUUCCAAUAAGAAGGAGACCAGAUUUACACGCAAUAUUCCAAAAGUUGCAGAAUCAACAUCCUGUACAGCUAC